CCACAGAGAGCCACAACUCUGCACAACAUUGACUUCUGAGAGAGGAGGAAGGAAGAAACCAGAUAAAGAAAUUGAGGCAGACAGAGGUUAGAGGAUUUGAACUGAUGUUGCCAGGACUUGAAACCAGACAGUGGCUUAUAUUAGAGUCUGUGUUCUCAGCUACCAUACUAUCUGCUGUUCUGCUGAUGACCUGCGGAAAGCUUCAUUCACUGGCAAAAGAGAACAAAGGACCAUGGAAUGUGGAACCUUGCCCAGCCUGCUGCUCAGGAGGCGAUUGCUCAAGGCUGUCUUAUGCAGAGGAGGUCAACAGUUGACCCAUGAACCAUUUAAACUGGAAGGAAGAAUUAACCAAUACCCUGAGAGAUUGACUACAACUACUUUUUCCUGAAAGUUAGAGUGCAGAGUACAGGAGAGGAAGGCCAUUUACUAAUUUUCCUGCUUCCUUCACCAGUCCUCUACCUCUCCAUACCUAAGGUCCUUCACUCAAUAUACUCAAGUCUUCUCUGCUAUGUCUGCAUUCCCACAUGCCACGGCAUAUAAAAGGUAGGAUAAGGAGUUCCAUCACUUCACACAAGCAUCUACCAGGAGGAGGAAAAUAAAAACAUUUUACCAUCAACUUCGCCACUUGCUGUGAAACCGAAGGCUUGUUAUAUAAGCGUUUGGGGACAUAAUGAAUGUGACUUACAUAUGUCA
rnacentral:lncRNA from 1 species